rnacentral:rRNA from 1 species
UACAGACCUGAGUGUUUGGCAGGACUACCCGC